rnacentral:sRNA from 1 species
UCAACACCCUAGAGACUGAAGUCCUCUGUUUAGCCACAGACCAGGUACAACAAAGGCAAGAGAAGUUCCAGUUCCCUUCACAGUAUUCUGCUUACAUUAUCAUCUCGAAGAGCCACCUCCAAGCCCAAUGGGUUAGUCAGUCCUUGACCUCUCUUGCUAAUUACCCAUC